rnacentral:rRNA from 1 species
UACGUAGGGGGCAAGCGUUGUCCGGAAUUAUUGGGCGUAAAGCGCGUGUAGGCGGUCCGGUAAGUCGGCUGUGAAAGUCCAGGGCUCAACCCUGGGAUGCCGGUCGAUACUGCUGGGACUCGAGUUCGGAAGAGGCGAGUGGAAUUCCCGUGUGAGACGGUGAAAUGCGCAGAUAUCGGAGGAAGACCAUCAUGGCGAAGGCAGCUCGCUGGGACGUACUGACGCUGAGACGCGAAAAGCGUGGGGAGCAAACAGG